GCUAAAACAAUUCGAAUUAUUGUGUCAAUUAGAGUGUCGCUACUUAUCGGUCACGUGAUCACUCCGCCAUAUUGAAAUUAUCACUACGAUUGAAUCGGACGAAUAAUUCUGUUUAUUUUUGAAUGCACGAUUCUUUUGAACUGUGAUUGUGAACAAUUGUGGCAAUAUUUUUCAAAGAUCGAAAGAAUUAUUGGAAUUAUUGCAAGCCUUUUCAAUGUCGAGGAGGUAAUGGAAAUCGUUCAAAGUUGAAGGAUUGUUUGGCAAAAAGGAACGAGAGAGAAACAGUAAACUUUGUUCAUCGCAAGGAAUGGAGUUUGUUAGCAUUCCAAACUUCGUUAGGAAUCGUAAUUUGAAACGAGAAAUGGAAGAAAGUGUCCGGAAAAUUAAUAAAUUUGCAUAUUUGUCUAAAUAUUUGCGUUUGAAGUGGAAAAUGCUAAUUAAAGAAAAGGCAAGCUGAAAAUUAUUCCAACCAGAAUAUAAAAUUUAAUAAACAAUUAUUUCCUACUCACCUAGUAAAGACAAGGCACAGUAACGUAGCACUAAGGAUCAUAAGUUGCUGACUUAAAGCUGAUUGAGAUUUUUGCAUAGCUCUGUGCAGAUCGUUCUGAAAAAA
rnacentral:lncRNA from 1 species